UUACGGUCAAGUCACGCUGAAAACACCGGUUCUCGUUCGAUCACCGAAUUUAAGCAUCGUAUUGACCCAGGUCAGUACUUAGAUGGGGGACCGCCUGGGAACACCU
rnacentral:rRNA from 1 species